rnacentral:rRNA from 1 species
GCGACAGAAGAAGCACCGGCUAACUCCGUGCCAGCAGCCGCGGUAAUACGGAGGGUGCGAGCGUUAAUCGGAAUUACUGGGCGUAAAGCGCAUGCAGGUGGUCUGUUAAGUCAGAUGUGAAGCCCCGGGCUCAACCCGGGAAUAGCAUUUGAAACUGGCAGGCUAGAGUACUGUAGAGGGGGGUAGAAUUUCAGGUGUAGCGGUGAAAUGGUAGAGAUCUGAAGGAAUACCAGUGGCGAAGGCGGCCCCCUGGACAGAUACUGACACUCAGAUGCGAA